GAUGAACGCUGGCGGCGUGCUUAACACAUGCAAGUCGAACGAGAAGUGGAGACGGAAACCUUCGGGCGGAAGACUUUAUUUCGAGUGGCGGACGGGUGAGUAACGCGUGGGUAACCUGCCUCAUACAGGGGGAUAACAGUUGGAAACGACUGUUAAUACCGCAUAAGACCACAGCACCGCAUGGUGCGGGGGUAAAAACUCCGGUGGUAUGAGAUGGACCCGCGUUCGAUUAGCUAGUUGGCGGGGUAACGGCCCACCAAAGCGACGAUCGAUAGCCGAUCUGAGAGGAUGACCGGCCACAUUGGGACUGAGACACGGCCCAAACUCCUACGGGAGGCAGCAGUGGGGAAUAUUGCACAAUGGGGGAAACCCUGAUGCAGCGACGCCGCGUGAGUGAAGAAGUAUUUCGGUAUGUAAAGCUCUAUCAGCAGGGAAGAAAAUGACGGUACCUGAGUAAGAAGCCCCGGCUAACUACGUG
rnacentral:rRNA from 1 species